rnacentral:rRNA from 1 species
CAAUAGCGUAUAUUAAAGUUGUUGCAGUUAAAAAGCUCGUAGUUGAAUUUCUGGUGGGCGCGCCGGUCUUCCAAGUGUUGUACUGGGCGCAGUCCGCCAUCCUUGUGGAGAGGGCUCGCAUUGAGUUGCGUGUCGGAUCUGCAUCAUUUACUGUGAAAAAAUUAGAGUGUUUAAAGCAGGCUGUCGCUUGAAUACAUUAGCAUGGAAUAAUAAGAUAGGACUUCGGUCUAUUUUGUUGGUUGCGAACCGAGGUAAUGAUUAAUAGGGAUAGUUGGGGGUAUUCAUAUUUAAUUGUCAGAGGUGAAAUUCUCGGAUUUAUGAAAGAUGAACAACUGCGAAAGCAUUUACCAAGGAUGUUUUCAUUAA